UCCCCUUUAGUAUAUAAAAUACGCCUGCCUUCCAAGCAGGAAAAUCCAACUAUGGAAGAGGAU
rnacentral:tRNA from 1 species